CAUUUAUUAGCACUCGGCCCGGGGAGGAUCUGGAUUUGAGCACGUACUUAAAUUUCAGCGUGUGCUGUGGCGUCGCCCUGAACGGAGACCAUCUCAAGCUUUUGCUGAAGUGCUUUCCUGAAGCGGGGCCAGCAGACUGUGAAAGCUUACCCCUGUGUGGCUUCUCCUGGACUCCUUCUGAGGCCCGUUCUGCUGAGGCAGAGCUGAAGAAACUUAGAGAUGAGGCACAGCCUCUUUCAGGAUCAGCAGUUUGCAGAGCGUACCUCGAAUCCCAGAAGACGAUAGAGCUACCCACAGUCCAUGAGAAACAUCGCCUUAAAAAAUCCUUCGCACGGCCAGCUCAGAGGAAAUGCAACUGGUGA
rnacentral:lncRNA from 1 species